UGCAUGCUUAAUGUGACCAUCUAUUCUCAAGUUUUGAGAUAUAUACUCAUAUGCACUUCCUUAUUUCAUAUGACCAACAGUUUGUUGAAAAGAAAGGCACAAGAAAUAUUGUUUACCGAGAGCCUUUUUUUGUGCAUACCAAGGAUUGUGUUAACUGCACCAUCUACAGGGUGGUCCUUCACACGAUAAGGAACAAGACCAUCCUCGAGCAACAAAUUUCAGGUCUGUGCAAAUGCCAGCUGCAGAGGUUCAGUGCUGAAACUACCUACAAAAGCUGCCACGGUACACGAACUGAUGCACUUCAAGGCGUAACUACCUCAAUACAGAUCACACUACGUAUCUAUUAUGUGCAUUUUACACUAGCAAGUACUUUCACGUUGUACUAUAAUCAGUAAUUUGUUCUCUGUACUUUGUGUUGCACUGAAUGGUUUUAUUAUGCUGAAGACAACUCUUCAUCUCUUCUCUCUUUCUAUCAUCCCAUAUUGAUGUAAUCAGUAAUAAGAUAGUCUUUGUGAAGUUGAUUUUCA